GGGGGCGUAGCUCAGCUGGUUAGAGCACUUGCUCGACAAGCAAGGGGUCAUUAGUUCGAAUCUAACCGUCCCCACCA
rnacentral:tRNA from 1 species